rnacentral:lncRNA from 1 species
AGGGAAUCAGCGCAACUUUUCAAAAAGACCUCACCCCACCGGUCGUCUUCUACAAACGACCCACACACGAAACUCCUUCUUCUGCUGGAAUGAAAAUCACAGACCCUGAAGAUGGAGAACAAUGAAAAACAUAUGACAAUGACCUAAAGGUUCAACCGCAGAACAAUACAGAUACCCCCCAUCCCUGCAUCGUCUUCUCUGAACCCCCCUCCCCACCAUAGACUGAUCUUCCUCAGUCGCUGGACACCAGGAAACGACCCCCUCCCUGGAACUCCCAGUUGGUUUCUAUACAAACGACCCCUCCAAUUUUUCUGCCUCACCACUUCCGUCGUCUCCCAGCACACCCAUCAAAACCAGACUUAACGCCUAAGAUGAUUUCUGUCGCCGACUAAAGUUUCGUCCGUUCGAGGUUGCGAAUCUGGUCCGAGUUUCGUCGUUUGGCACUUCAUUAUGACUGUGUAAUUGCUGAAAUUUCAGUUGAAUGAAGCUUUAAUUUCAGAUGCUCUGAAUGGCCGAUUCAUUUGCUUGGCUAGUCGAUUGUUAAUUUUGGUUCGUAUAUGCUUCGUCGCCAUUAAUCUCGAUUAGCAUCGUUUGGACUGAUGAUUGAAUAGUUAGCGUCUUUUUCGCCACUACUUCUUCUUUGCCGAUCGAAAUUCUAGCAAGCUCGAGCUCCAAGCAUCUCAGGUCUUUCUUUUCUCUCUCGUAUUUCAAUAUACUCGCUAGUACUUCAUCCUUUCUCCCUGCUGCCCGGACUUCUGUAACAUUUUUAUUCUUGUUGGGUUAAUCUCUUGUCGAGAUUUUUGUUGUUUUUGAGAGUGUAACUGCUAAUGGCUAUUGUUGGGUGAUUAUUGAAUCCCAAUUCGAUGGUUAAGUUUUGGCUAAGGUAUAGCUUUAUGGGGGCUUAGAGAAACGAAGUUUCAGUUAUGCACAUAAGGUGCUUGUGGAAACGAUUGACCGAACUCAAUCAACAUGGAUUCUUUGAGUUUUAUUUUUGCGCAAUAUGUGGUGUUUUGAAGCUUAAUUCUUGUUGAUCUCUCACUGUUAAGGUACUGUAAUUGAGGUCGAGCUUUGAAUUGUGUUGAUCCCUGUUUAAUCGAUGUCAAAUUGUGUGCAAAGUUGAGCAUUUGAGUCAGAUUGAAUGAGCUAAUUAUGUGUCUGAUGACAUGUGAUUGCUAUUCACUUAUUUGUUGGAAAAAGAUUAAAACCUAUAAUCAUUGCUUUCGUUUACUUGAUUUGCUUUCAUGUUGUGGCUAUAAUUUUGUAAUAUUGAAGCAUAUUUUAAUGUUGUCGACAAUUAGUGUGGAUUUGAAGUUCGAUUGGUAUUGUUUUGAGCGAUUGAUUCGUUGGGGUUGAGUUAAGGUAGUCAUGGCACGACUUUAUCAAUUUCAUUUGAAUAAGUUGCAUAAAUCAUGUGUCUUCCCACAUUGUUUUCCACAAAGACCUUUGCAUCGAACCUCAAAGUACCGUAGGCUUAAUCAUGAACACCGUAGAUCUUUAGGUUGAGGCGUGCCAUGCCAAACAAAAUCUCCAACCCCAUGGCCCUCCAUUAAUUAUUUUAACUUCUUAGAAAUCGAAGCAUGCCAUUUAGUUGAAUUUUCCAUGGCCCUCGCAAAGUUGAAAGGCGUAGUCGCUUUAGGCGCGUUAUUUUAAUAAUUUACCUUCCUAAACUUGGGUGCGCAUUUAUGUGACCCAAAUCCAAAUCUCAACAACGUUGGAUAAAAUGUGUCGGGGCCCGCGGGUGCAUUUAUGUGACGUGGUUCAAGACGUAUUUUAAAUGACGUUGCAAUCUUCCUUAAAAAUAAUUAAACAAAGUGGUUAAAAUUAAAAUUGAAGCAUAGGCUAAAACAUGUAUUAAAAUCAGAUAAUAGGCCUAAUAUAAUAGUUGAGCGACAGUGCUAAAACAACGGAACUUGGGAAUGUCUAACACCUUCUCCCGGAUUAACAGAAUUCCUUACUCGGAUUUCUGGUUCGCGGACUAUAAAACAGAGUCAAUCUUUUCCUCGAUUCGGGAUUUGAACCGGUGACUUGGGACACCAUAAAUUAUCCCAAGUGGCGACUCUAAAUUUUACAUAAAAAUAAUUCCGUUUCGAUUGUCACUUAUAUGGGAAAAACUCCCUUAUAUACUCCCUUACGGGGAGUAGGUAAAAAGGAGGUGUGACAGCUCUGGCAACUCUGCUGGGGAUCGAACCCAGAAUCUCUGGUUCAGGGUUCAAAAUUCGAGCUUAGAUAAAUUGUUAUAAUUGGCUUUAUUUAUUAUCUGAUUUUGUUGCAUGUUUGGGCCUAAUGUGCUAAAUGUUGCUUUUACCGCUUUGAUAUUAUCUGAACUGUAUAUAAACUGUUACGAAACCCUUCUCUUCUCAUCUUUGGGGAUGUGNCCCCCUCCUCGGCUCGAGUUGUCCACUCGAGUACACAAGUCUAGAACAAAUACCCAGGUUUUGAACCUAGAAUAACUCAGCUUCAUGCCGGAUCCCUAGUAAGAACGUUUGUUUGUAUCAUGUGCACUUGACAUAGGGGACUCAACACAGGGGUUGGGUCCGUCUAGGACAGGUAUACCCCAAAAACUAAAAGACCAUCCUGAUGCAUCUUAUAUGCUACAUAUUGCAUUUAUUCAAGGGUAAAAGGGUCAUUUGGCGGACCAAUGAUAGCUGAGGGUAGAUGAAGAAAUGAAAAAAAAAUUAAAAAAGAAAGAAGAAAGAAAAAAAAAAGAAAAAGAGAGGGUGAAGUGUGAAGAUAAAGCGAGUGGGGCCCAAUUAUGUUUUUUGUCACAUUUUUGUUAAGGAAACAAAAAUGCUUGAAAAUUUUAAAAAAAAAAGAUUUUGCACGUUUUCAUCAUUUUCCGAAAAUCAGAAAAUCAAAAAAAAAAAGGAAAAAAAAUCCAAAAAGAGUUUACAUGUUUCAUCAUUCUUCAAAAAAAACAUAUUUCCUCUAAAUUAGUUGUUAUUUUGAUUUCUUGCUCGUAUCCUAUCUGCCCGAAUUACGCAUACCUGAUUCUCGUCUUUCGGGACGUGAUACGUAGGCAACCCACAUAAGGUCCGGUCUUCCUAGUAAAUCUUAGGUUCUUGGUUUUGCGGGGUCUUAGCCAAAUUUUGCACUUCUAGCCACCUUUUGGCCAAAUAAACCAUUUUGCAAAAAUAGCCUCAAUCAUGUCUUGCAUGUGUCUUAGGGAAUGUUAUUGUCUCACAUAGUGUUGGUUUAAGUUUUCUUAUACAGGUGUGGAUUUACUUACUGGAGUUUUGGCAUGACAGAUACCCCAGGAUCACUGCAUUCAGGAGUUGCUUGAGGAGAUUUGUUUUAUUUUUAAGUUUUGAGUCUGUUCUUCAUUUAAUGUCGUCUUUUACUUUCUACUUUUAUACAGUAAUGUCAAGUCCUUUGUUAUUGUUAUUUUCUGCUUUAUAUAUUGAAAAAAUGUGUUGUAAC